GGAAGCUCAGAGCAACAGCUUUGCCUUGAUUCUCACGGAACUGGAAAAUUGAGCACCAAUUAUUCUCAAUCUCUGCACUGGGAGUGUCACGGACUUGGAGGAAACCAGCUUUGGUACUACACAGUCCUCGGAGAAAUACGCGACGAACAAAACUGCUUGGACUUCUUCGGAGGAGAACGCGUCAUUUUGUAUCCGUGUCAUAAAUCCGGUGGAAAUCAAGAGUGGGAAUAUCACGGAGAGACUGGAAUAAUUGUCCACACAAAGUCAAGACGCUGCUUGACUCUGGAUGGAGCAGUUGGAAAUCUGGCAGUUACGGCUUGUCAGGGGAGACUGGAGCAAAAGUGGAAAUUUGAAGUAGACAAUAUUUAUGACACUUUGAACAACUUUCGAUUUUCACAAUAACCCAUCAAAGCA